rnacentral:rRNA from 1 species
CAGCCGCCGCGGUAAUACGAAGGGGGCUAGCGUUGCUCGGAAUUACUGGGCGUAAAGGGAGCGUAGGCGGACAUUUAAGUCAGGGGUGAAAUCCCAGAGCUCAACUCUGGAACUGCCUUUGAUACUGGGUGUCUUGAGUGUGAUAGAGGUAUGUGGAACUCCGAGUGUAGAGGUGAAAUUCGUAGAUAUUCGGAAGAACACCAGUGGCGAAGGCGACAUACUGGAUCAUUACUGACACUGAGGCUCGAAAGCGUGGGGAGCAAACAGGAUUAGAUACCCCGGUAGUCCCUGUCUCUUAUAC